GUAGCUUAUUGUUCAAUGGGAUUUUUGCCAUCCUCUGCCAAAAACACACCCUUUCUGGGGACCAGGACCUCUAACCCUGCAGAAUCCAGAGCUGUGGGGACCCCUAGUGAGUCACUGAAAGUGAUGGUGUCCCUGGAAGGGUAUGACCUUGGAUGAAGCUGAAGCAACUCCCUAAAGGGGCUGAAGGCUGAAUGAAGGUUGUACACUGACAGCACUCUCAGCAGCUGAGGCAACAAGCCCUUCCCUGGGGGAAGAUCUGGACCAUGCCUCGCCAUGUCUCUGCCACAAGGUCAAGCUUCUGUGCACCAGGCUCUGCCCAAGCGUGAUUGCCAGGAAGUCUGUCCCAUGCAGUGCUGCAGACCUGUGUAUUUCUUCAGGGACCUCAGCCAGGUACUACAAUGGAGGCAAAGGUGCUGCUUGAGGAAGAAUUCCGGCUUUGGCUCAGCUAUUCUGCAGUCUACCUUCCCUCAGAGCAGAGAGUUUGGGGCAGGGUUUUCUACUUAUUUAAGAGAAUGUCGUUCAAGCCAUCUACUUGCUUGAUGUGAGAGAUUUAUGUGUUUUCUAACAUAGUCAUCAAUGUAAGGUUCUAACACUCUAUAUUCCAGUUGGAGAAUAACCUUGAAUUGUCAAUUGUUUUACUCCUUUCAAAAGCUAAACAGGAAAUUGACGUUUAGUCAAUUUUGUUUAAGGGACAUGGUAUCCAUCACUUUUGGUGUCUUUUAACAUUGUUCUUUUAUCACAUUUGAUCACUGUAAAUCUACACGUUUAUGUGACGUUAACUUAGUCCUCUCCAGAAUACCCAUUACUGAAUUUAUCUUUUAGAGAGUGUAAAGACUAGAUUUGCUAUAAAACUAUUGAAGUUAUUGA